GAUGAACGCUAGCUACAGGCUUAACACAUGCAAGUCGAGGGGAAACGACAUCGAAAGCUUGCUUUUGAUGGGCGUCGACCGGCGCACGGGUGAGUAACGCGUAUCCAACCUGCCCAUCACUUGGGAAUAACCUUGCGAAAGUAAGACUAAUACCCAAUGAUAUCCCACGAAGGCAUCGGAAUGGGAUUAAAGAUUUAUCGGUGAUGGAUGGGGAUGCGUCUGAUUAGCUUGUUGGCGGGGUAACGGCCCACCAAGGCAACGAUCAGUAGGGGUUCUGAGAGGAAGGUCCCCCACAUUGGAACUGGGACACGGUCCAAACUCCUACGGGAGGCAGCAGUGAGGAAUAUUGGGCAAUGGGCGAGAGCCUGAACCAGCCAAGUAGCGUGCAGGAAGACGGCCCUAUGGGUUGUAAACUGCUUUUAUAAGGGAAUAAAGUGGGUCACGUGUGACUUUUUGCAUGUACCUUAUGAAUAAGGACCGGCUAAUUCCGUG
rnacentral:rRNA from 1 species